UACGAAGGGUGCAAGCGUUGCUCGGAAUUAUUGGGCGUAAAGGGUAGGUAGGUGGUCUGAUUUGUCUGAGGUGAAAGCCCAGGGCUUAACCCUGGAAGUGCCUUAGAAACGGUUAGACUUGAGUACUGGAGAGGGUCGCGGAAUUCCUGGUGUAGCGGUGAAAUGCGUAGAGAUCAGGAGGAACAUCAGAGGCGAAGGCGGCGGCCUGGACAGUAACUGACACUCAACUACGAAAGCGUGGGUAGCAAACAGG
rnacentral:rRNA from 1 species